rnacentral:rRNA from 1 species
AUUUGAGACCUUCGUUUCCUCGGCGGGUCCGCCCGCCGAUUGGACAACAUUCAAACCCUUUGCAGUUGCAAUCAGCGUCUGAAAAAACAUAAUAGUUACAACUUUCAACAACGGAUCUCUUGGUUCUGGCAUCGAUGAAGAACGCAGCGAAAUGCGAUAAGUAGUGUGAAUUGCAGAAUUCAGUGAAUCAUCGAAUCUUUGAACGCACAUUGCGCCCCUUGGUAUUCCAUGGGGCAUGCCUGUUCGAGCGUCAUUUGUACCUUCAAGCUCUGCUUGGUGUUGGGUGUUUGUCUCGCCUCUGCGUGUAGACUCGCCUUAAAACAAUUGGCAGCCGGCGUAUUGAUUUCGGAGCGCAGUACAUCUCGCGCUUUGCACUCAUAACGACGACGUCCAAAAGUACAUUUUUACACUCUUGACCUCGGAUCAGGUAGGGAUACCCGCUGAACUUAAGCAUAUCAUA